GGACCUUGCGCUAUUGGAUGUGCCUAUGUCGGAUUAGCUAGUUGGUGGGGUAAGAGCCUACCAAGGCGACGAUCCGUAGCUGGUCUGAGAGGAUGAUCAGCCACAUCGGGACUGAGACACGGCCCGAACUCCUACGGGAGGCAGCAGUGGGGAAUAUUGGACAAUGGGGGCAACCCUGAUCCAGCCAUGCCGCGUGUGUGAAGAAGGCUUUCGGGUUGUAAAGCACUUUCAGUGAGGAGGAAAAGUGGGUCCCUAAUACGGGCUAGCCUUGACGUUACUCACAGAAGAAGCACCGGCUAACUCCGUGCCAGCAGCCGCGGUAAUACGGAGGGUGCAAGCGUUAAUCGGAAUUACUGGGCGUAAAGCGCGCGUAGGUGGUUUGAUAAGCGAGAUGUGAAAGCCCCGGGCUUAACCUGGGAACGGCAUUUCGAACUGUCAGGCUAGAGUAUGGUAGAGGGUAGUGGAAUUUCCUGUGUAGCGGUGAAAUGCGUAGAUAUAGGAAGGAACACCAGUGGCGAAGGCGGCUACCUGGACCAAUACUGA
rnacentral:rRNA from 1 species